rnacentral:rRNA from 1 species
GACGAACGCUGGCGGCGUGCCUAAUACAUGCAAGUCGAGCGGAAUGAUGAAGAAGCUUGCUUCUUCUGAUUUUAGCGGCGGACGGGUGAGUAACACGUGGGCAACCUACCUUGUAGAUUGGGAUAACUCCGGGAAACCGGGGCUAAUACCGAAUAAUCCAUUUUGCUUCAUGGCGAGAUGUUGAAAGACGGUUUCGGCUGUCACUACAAGAUGGGCCCGCGGCGCAUUAGCUAGUUGGUAGGGUAAUGGCCUACCAAGGCGACGAUGCGUAGCCGACCUGAGAGGGUGAUCGGCCACACUGGGACUGAGACACGGCCCAGACUCCUACGGGAGGCAGCAGUAGGGAAUCUUCCACAAUAGACGAAAGUCUGAUGGAGCAACGCCGCGUGAGUGAAGAAGGUUUUCGGAUCGUAAAACUCUGUUGUAAGGGAAGAACACGUACGAGAGUAACUGCUCGUACCUUGACGGUACCUUAUUAGAAAGCCACGGCUAACUACGUG